rnacentral:sRNA from 1 species
UAGUCACAGAAUAAGGCUGGGAGAGGCAGGGAAAAGAGGGUUGGGCACAGGUCAAUGCUCCUGGGUGUGGGCUUCCCUCCAGUGGACGGCUUGUCCCCACUAGUCCUGGGCAUCAUGGCAGUGGCCCUGGGUGCCCCAGGGCUCAUGCUGCUAGGGGGCGGCUUGGUUCUGCUGCUGCACCACAGGAAGUACUCAGAGUACCAGUCCAUAAAUUAAGGCCCGCUCUCUGGAGGGAAGGACAUUACUGGACCUGUCUUGCUGUGCCUCAAAACUCUGGAGGUUGGAGCAUCAAGUUCCAGCCGGCUCCUUCACUCCCCCGUCUUGCUUUUCUGUGGAACCUCAGAGGCCAGCCUCGACUUCCUGGAGACCCCCAGGUGGGGCUUCCUUCCUACCUUGGGGGGAACUUUGGAGGGGGGCAGGGAACAGGGCUAUUGAUAAGGUCCCCUUGGUGUUGCCUUCUUGCAUCUCCACACAUUUCCCUUGGAUGGGACUUGCAGGCCUAAAUGAGAGGCAUUCUGACUGGUUGGCUGCCCUGGAAGACAAGAAAAUAGAUUUAUUUUUUUUCACAGGG